GGCCACACCUGUGGCAAAUGGAAGUUCCAAGGCUAGGGGUUGAACCAGAGCUGUAGCUGCUGGCCUACACCACAGCCACAGCAAUUCAGGAUCUGAGCCAUGUCUGCAACCUACACCACAGCUAAUGGCAACACCAGAUCCUUAACCCACUGAGUAGGGUCAGGGAUUGAACAUACAUCCUCAUGGAUACUAGUAGGGUUUGUUACCACUGAGCCAUGAUGGGAAGCUAAUAUAGUUGAGUGUACAUAGUAACUGCAUAUAAUAAUUCAGUAUAUGAUAAAGGUAGCAUUUUAGGUAAACAUGAUUUAAGUUAACUGGUUAACAUGUUAGAAAAAAAAGUAGAUACCAUGUCAUUUAUUAUACUAAAUUAAUUUCCAUAUGAAUUAAAGAUAUUUAUUAAAUUUUCAAAGUACCAGAAAACAUAAAUACAUACGUAUAUAAUUUUGAAUUGCAAUUAUUUUCUUAAAGAAUAUCAAGAAAAACCUAACAAACUUCUAAUACACUUUGUUAUAUAAAAACCGAAAACAUCUAUGCCAUCACCAAGUUAAAUAUACAUAGUAAACUGGUAAUAUUGUUUUUAAAAUAGAGAAUAAAGUCUUAUUCUCUCCAAUACAGGAGUUCUUACAAAUAAUUAAAAUACUGAAACUUUAAACAGAAAAAAAAAAAUGGUAAAGAACAGAAUAUGGCAUUCACAAGAGGAGAAACAAUGACCAAAUAGCACAUGAAAAUAUUUUCAAAUACAGUAGAAGUAAUGAAACGCAGGUUAAAAUAACAGCAAGGUAUUCUGCAUACCUGAUGAGCAAAGACAGUUGGUGUUGGCAAAGGUAUGGUAAAAAUUUCCACUGACAAUUACUGCUGAUGUGAAGGUUAACAACUAUAAUUUUUCUGUAUGUGGAGGAGUUAAAUGUGUAACAUGUAAAAAAUUUUUUUAAAAAAGUCAUAUUCUUAGAUCAAAAAAUUUCACAUCUUAUGAAUUUAUCCUAAGCAAAUAAACAAAAAGGCAUAAAUUUCUGUAAAAAUAUGUCUCUGGGCUGCAUUAUUUAUAAUAGGAAGACAUAACUGGAAACAAACUAAACUGCAAUAAUUCAAUACUGUUUAAAUAAGUUUUAGCAAAUUUAUAAGAAUAUACUAUGCUAUGAUUAAAUGGUGAUUCAAAGCUCUAUUUACUGACAUGGAAAUGUGUUCACAAUUACUGAUAAGAAAAGCAAGAUACAGACCAGCAUGUUUAUUACUAUCUUAAUUUUAUGGGACUGUACAUAUGCACAUACACACAAAAAAAAAAUCUAAGAGGAUAAAAAUUGGAUCUGAGUAUGAAUUUAGGUAGCUUUUUCCUUUUCCUUUUUUUCUGAAUUUCCUACCUUUUCUAAAAUAAAUAGUAACACUGACACAAUUCAUAAAGGAAUCUAAAAAAUUAAAUAGAAGUUAAAAAGAAGAGAAGGAAAUACAGAUAAUGUUUUUAGGAUAACAGGUAAAGGAGAGGAGAGAAGGAAGGUGAUAACUAAAGGGGUAAUAGAUGAAGAAAUAUGAGAGAUAGUAGAUGCAUAAAUAACAGGGAUGAGAAAGGGCAAUAGCCUGACAAAGAAAGAGCACACAGUUGGAUUAUAGAAAUAAAAUCCCGGGAGUUCCCGUGGUGGCGCGGUGGUUAAGAAUCCAACUAGGAACCAUGAGGUUGCGGGUUCAAUCCCUGCCCUUGCUCAGUGGGUUAACGAUCUGGCGUUGCCGUGAGCUGUGGUGUAGGUUGCAGACGCAGCUCAGAUCCCGCGUUGCUGUGGCUCUGGCGUAGGCCAGCAGCUACAGCUCGGAUUAGACCCCUAGCCUGGGAACCUCCAUAUGCCGCAGGAGCGGCCCAAGAAAUAGCAAAAAGACCAAAAAAAAAAAAAAGAUAAAAUCCCGAGUUGCUGUGGCUGUGGCAGAGGCUGGCAGCUGUAGCUCUGAUUCAGCCCCUAGCCUGGGAACUUCCAUAUACCAUGGGUGUGGCCCUAAAAAGCAAAAACAAAAAAUGUUUUCACUAAAGGGGGAUAUGAAACCAAGUGAGAAAUUUUCUUUUGAACACAUGAAGAAAACUUUGUAUGUGUUUAUAUAUUAGGAAAGAGGCAUAGAGAAGAAUGAGUGAAGUUGCUGAAGAGACAGAAUUGAGAUUCUAAAAUAACAAUAAAAAAAGACAAUGACAUUUUAGAGACAAACACUUCAUUGAUAAUUACAAAAAAUAUGUAAGUUCUAGGAAUAAAUCUAAGAAGAAGUUCUUGAUCUCUUCAGAGAAAUGUAUUAACUUCAUUGGGACCUAUUACAACGGCCUAAGUUAAAGGACAUAUAUACCAUGUUAAUGGACUGGAAGACUGGAUCCUGCAGAGAAGCUGAAUGUUUCCAACUAAUUACACAUUCACUGCAAUCUUCAAAACUAUACAUAUUUUUGGCUUUGGUGAUCUUCUCUACAUUGUAUGCAUACUUUUAAUUGAAAAAAAUCAUGUUACCAGAGUAUAUAAAGUACAAACUAUAGACUAUAAUUUACAAAAGAAAAAAUAAAUAAAUAAAAAAUAAAUAAAAGGACAUAGAAGAUAAACAAGGUCCUACUGCAUAGCACAGGCAACUACAAUCAAUAUCCUGUAAUAAACCAUAGUGGAAAAGAAGAUGAAAAUGAAUAUAUUUAUACACAUACAUAUCUGAAUCACUUUGCAAUACAUUAGAAAAUAACACAAAAUUGUAAAUCAAUUAUAUUUCAAUUUAAAAAGAAAAAGAGGAGGUCCCCUUGUGACUCAGCAGUUAGCGAAUCUGACUAGCAUCCAUGAAGAUGCAGGUUCGAUCGUGGCCCCACUCAGUGGGUUAAGGAUCUGGAGUUGCCAUGAGCUGUGGUAUAGGUGGCAGAUGCGGCUUGGAUCCUGUGUUGCUGUGGCUGUGGCAUAGACCAGCGGCUACAGCUCCAAUUGGACCCCUAGCCUGGAAACCUCCAUAAAUGUAGGGUGCAGCCCUAAAAAGACAAAAAGACCAAUAAAUAAAUAAAUAAUAGAAAGAAAAAAAGGAACACAGACACAGUUGAAAGAAAAAAGAUGGAAAACACCCACAAAUAUCAACAAAACAAAAAGUUGACAUGAUUAUACAACUAUCAAAUGAAAUAAAAUAAAGACAGUUUGUUUUUAGCUGAAAAGAGAAUUAUUACAUAAGACAUUAGUCAGCAAGACAAAACAAUGCUAAACUUCUAUGCAUCUAAUAACACAGUCUCAAAAUACAUACAGUAAAAACUGACAAAACCAGAAGGAAAAAAAUCCAUGAUCACAGUGUAAGAUUUUAAUGACUUCCUUUAAUACUCAGUAACUAACAAGAACAAAAAAAUUCAUGUAUUGUGUUGCUAACAACACAAUAACAAGAUUGAUCUAAUGAAGAUGUAUUCUAUAUGUUCAAAAACAUUUAGAACAAAUUUAUAAGGAUAAAAAUAAAAGCUGUAUAUAAACUCUGAGACACACAGACUAAUGAAGCUGAAUAAGAAAUUCAGAAAUAAGUGGAGAAAAGAUGGACUUUAAUAAUAUAUAUAACAAGGAUAAAUGAAAAAUGACAAUCCAUAUGAUAAAAAGAGAAAUAUUUGAAUAUAGAUAAGAUAAAUUCUAGAUGAAUUCAAUUCUUAAGUGUGACCAUGUUGAACUUCAUCUGAGCCUGUGUUCCCUGAAAAAAUUGAUAGUUGAGAAAUCCUUCUACCUUUUUGUGUUUUUAGAAUUAACUACAAAAGGCCACUAUGCCUUCACAUAUUCUUGAUAAGACCCACCUUCACCUUUCCUCAAAGAUAAUCACUUCCUUCCUUCCUGUCUUUAUGAAACCCCAUUUACUUUGAGAUGUUCCCCAUUGCAACGGCCUGAAUAAAAUAAUCUUCUUAUUUGUCUGGUACCUCUGACAAAUAUGCAAAGCAAAGUAGUACAAGCUUUUAAAAGAAAAUGUGGGAGAAAAUCUUGAUAACACUAGGGCAAGAAAGAAUUUGUGACGAAGUAGCAAAACAUGGAUAAACUUCAAAAACACCGUUCAGUGCAAAGAGCUGCAGAAAAAAACCUGUGUUUAUAUAUUUUAUAAGGUUUAGAGACAAUGCUUGUGCACAUAUAUAAUUAAGGGUACAAACCUAUGUGAUAAAAAUAUGAACAGAAAGAAUAUGCAUGUUUUAGGAU
rnacentral:lncRNA from 1 species